rnacentral:rRNA from 1 species
GGGAUAACUCGUCGAAAGGCGAGCUAAUACCGCAUGACAUUCCCUCCGGCAAAGGCCCGUCUGAGGAGGAGCCCGCGCCCGAUUAGCUAGUUGGUGAGGUAACGGCUCACCAAGGCUUUGAUCGGUAGCCGGUCUGAGAGGAUGGCCGGCCACACUGGAACUGUGACACGGUCCAGACUCCUACGGGAGGCAGCAGUGGGGAAUAUUGCGCAAUGGGCGAAAGCCUGACGCAGCGACGCCGCGUGGGGGAUGAAGCUUCUCGGAGUGUAAACCCCUUUCGACCCGGACGAAUGACGGUACGGGUAUAAGAAGCCCCGGCUAACUACGUGCCAGCAGCCGCGGUAAUACGUAGGGGGCCAGCGUUGCUCGGAAUUACUGGGC